GGGAUUCCGGGAGCUGCAAGUCUAAACAGGCUCCAGUUCAAACCACUGAACUCAACUCAAGCCUCCUGAUCUCAGGCCAUCCAAGGUGAAGAGCAUGCCUUCAACAAUACAGUUUAAUUGCCUCUGGAAUGACAGAAAAUUGAAAUUAUUAUCUCCUUACGCCCUUGCCAAGUAACACGCUCAAUAUCACUGAAGCCUACCAACUACCCAAUCAUCUGAUUGUUUGAACAUCAGCAAACUUUGAGAUCAUAAUAAUCUCCCAGGAGCAAAACAGGUGUACAACAUAUGAACUGAAAUCAGCAACUAGGGCAAUUUUAUCUGCUUCCUGACAGCUCUACUCAAUUUUAAACAGAGGUGGAAAAAAAUUGGCUGGCAAACAAUCAGUUCCAAGUUGUUUGAAAGAAGACAAUGGACAGGAAUUACAGGACAAUCAAUACAGUUGGGUUUAAAAAAACAAAAAAAAAAAACAACUUAUAACGGAGAAACAAACUUCUGAGAGUAGCAGGUUGAGAACAAUCCUUGCCUAAAAAUGACAAAAGACUGUUUCCCAGAAGGAGAUUUGCAGGACAACUGAGCCAUGGUUUCUGUCUUGAAAUAAUAUUUGUUGGAUAGUCUGACUUCUGAAGACUCAUCAGCCAGCAAAGAUCACCUGAACCAACCAGUUCAGUAGAGGAAGGCAAGUGAAAAAAUUGGCAGCAAAAAGUACCAUAGAAAAUAAUGAAUUGAUAAUCCAAGGUGACCAUUUACAACCUUUGCUUAAAGCAGAAUUAGGUUUUCAGAACAUCCAAUUCAGAUACCAAAGUUGGUUGUUCUGGCUGCAGUUUCCUCCACUGACAUUUUCUUUCCUAACUGAGACCUGGACAAAUCAUAUGUUAUGGCUAUGAGGAAUUGCAUGUGGCAUAAUGAAAGCAAACUAACAAAAAAUUAUUAAGAAAGAAAAAUGCUAUUUUGUACGACAAACACAUGCUCCAUAAACAUACUCCAACCCAUAUAUCCUUUCAGAACUUUCUCAUAUCUUCCUGAACACUAAGAUAACGCAGGAAAAAACAGAGAAUUAACAAAAAAAAUGAAUAGUGCCUUUUCAAUGUUCAAUUUCUGUGUCACCAAAGGAAUCCUGACAACAGUAAUUCCCAAAUUGUGUGCCAGAGCAUACUAAGAUGUUGUGAAAAGAAUGACAGACUGUCCCAAAAAAUAAGUCAAAAGCUCCCAUGAGCACAGGUAUCUGCAGAGACUUCUUUCUGAUCCAUCUCAAUGGAAUUUAUUUUUCAGAUUUUAUCAUCUUCGAGGUAGUCUCCACUGAGAACAUUCUGCCCUAUAUAUGUAUGGGCGAUUGUUUUGACUAUUGUCCAUCUCGAUACAAAGGAACAGCAAUGGCAAUUCUCAGAAGAAGAUAUAUACAUUAGUGCAGCUAUAUAAAUAUAAUAUGGUCACAAUUA